rnacentral:rRNA from 1 species
AGAACGAACGCUGGCGGCAUGCCUAACACAUGCAAGUCGAACGCUCCUGGGGCUUCGGUCUCAGGGGAGUGGCGCACGGGUGAGUAGCGCGUGGGAACCUGCCCUGUUGUGGGGGAUAACCGAGGGAAACUUCGGCUAAUACCGCAUAAGCCGGUUGUCUUGAAAGAGAUGGCCGGGAAAGAUUUAUCGCGACAGGAGGGGCCCGCGUCGGAUUAGCUAGUUGGUGGGGUAACGGCCCACCAAGGCAGUGAUCCGUAGCUGGUCUGAGAGGAUGAUCAGCCACACUGGGACUGAGACACGGCCCAGACUCCUACGGGAGGCAGCAGUGGGGGAAUAUUGGACAAUGGGCGCAAGCCUGAUCCAGCAAUGCCGCGUGAGUGAUGAAGGCCUUAGGGUUGUAAAGCUCUUUCGCCCGCGACGAUGAUGACGGUAGCGGGAGAAGAGCCCGGCUAACUUCGUGCCAGCAGCCGCGGU